CGAGAAGGGCUUUGCAGAUACAGCUAAAUGCUAAAAAGUUUCAAUUCAUGUUGUUUGACGUGUUCCCUCACCCUGAGCCUGUUACGUUAGAUGGCCGCUCCAACCUAAACCUGAUUUUGCUGGAAGUUUGUUCCAGUUAUAAGGGAUUUUUUUUCUUUCCACUGUCACCAAGAACAUUCAACCAUGUAGGCUCCUAAGAGUUCCAACAACUGAAUCACUGUCUAUCAUGUUGAAUUGCCUUUUUCAAGUAUCCCCAAGUGUUAUUUACUUUUAUUUGUAAAAUGGUAAGGGUUAAAAUACCAGGGCUGUUUGCAUUUUAUGGAGUGUGUGGAUUUUUAGCCCUCUUUCUAAGCUGUUAUCAUACUAAAAGCCAUGAGUCAAAUAGGUCUUCAGUCAGAUAUUUGACUAACACAUGUUUUUCAAACAUUUGUCUCUUCUUGCUGUUGUCUUGGAGGUGGAUUAAUGAAGCUGGGAUACUCCCAGGUUUCACAAUGCCUGGCUAGAUAAUGGAUAUGAGUGCCUAUUAGCAGAAGAAGAAAACACAUUGUUAACAUCCAGCUGCGGCCAAUUUUUAUGAGUCAUCAAACUCUUUGGAAGACUCAGGAGCUCAACACAAACACAGGCAGUUGAUUAAUUGUUCGAGUAGUUGCACAUACUCAUAAUGUACACUCCAUAUGUUGGCCUGAAUCUGCCUGUGACAAGCUGACAGACUGACUGCACUUAGACGUUUUGGGCUACUGUAAGGUUGGUGGUUGGAGAAGAGUGGAAUACAUUUUUCACAAGGAAAGUGAACUGUGUUAGGCUCCUCUGGAAUUGCAUAUGAAUGUAUGAAGAUGGUAGAAAAUGAUUAGCUGCUUAAAUGCAGUAUUUUAAAGACACGUUUUUAUGUUCUGGCUUUUAGGACAUGUUGACCUAAACAUUUUGGUUUUAACAGCCUUAGCUGAGUUGUUUUAGUUGUUUUUAUUGACUUUUUUUUUUCCUUCUAUAUUUUUCUGCAUCAUUGUUGUGCAUUUUAUUUAUGUUAGUGGGAUUUUACAUUGUUAAUCACUUUGUGCAGCAUGGACUGUUGGAAAUGUGCUAUCUAAAUAAACUUGACC
ensembl:lncRNA